UACGUAGGGUCCGAGCGUUGUCCGGAAUUACUGGGCGUAAAGAGCUCGUAGGUGGUUUGUCGCGUUGUUCGUGAAAACUCACAGCUUAACUGUGGGCGUGCGGGCGAUACGGGGCAGACUUGAGUACUGCAGGGGAGACUGGAAUUCCUGGUGUAGCGGUGAAAUGCGCAGAUAUCAGGAGGAACACCGGUGGCGAAGGCGGAUCUCUGGGCCGAUACUGACGCUGAGGAGCGAAAGCAUGGGGAGCGAACAGG
rnacentral:rRNA from 1 species